UCGUUGUCGUCGUUAUUGUCGUUGUUGUCGUUGUCGUCGUCGUUGCCGUUCUCGUCGUGUCGUAGUCAUUGUUGUUGUCAUCGUUGUUGUCGUCGUCGUCGUCAUCGUCGUGUCGUUGGUUGAGUCGUAAUCGUCAUCAUUCCGCCCGUCAACGCCGGCGUUGCUUCAUUAUAUUCGUCCCGAAAAGAAGAAAAGGAAAAGAAAAAGAUAGAAAAACCAACCGUCAGUGCGUUUGUUUCCGCUUGAACUCGAGUAACGCGUGAGAAAGAAGGAAAGAACGAUAAAAA